UUGGAUGUAGCUCAGUGGAUGAACACUUGCUUAGCAUGCAUGAAGUCCUAGAUUUGAUUCCUAGCACUGAAA
rnacentral:tRNA from 1 species